rnacentral:rRNA from 1 species
CCUACGGGGGGCUGCAGUGGGGAAUAUUGGACAAUGGGGGCAACCCUGAUCCAGCCAUGCCGCGUGUGUGAAGAAGGCCCUCGGGUUGUAAAGCACUUUCAGUGAGGAAGAACGCCUGGUGGUUAAUACCCAUCAGGAAAGACAUCACUCACAGAAGAAGCACCGGCUAACUCCGUGCCAGCAGCCGCGGUAAUACGGAGGGUGCGAGCGUUAAUCGGAAUUUCUGGGCGUAAAGCGCGCGUAGGUGGCUUGAUAAGCCGGUUGUGAAAGCCCCGGGCUCAACCUGGGAACGGCAUCCGGAACUGUCAAGCUAGAGUGCAGGAGAGGAAGGUAGAAUUCCCGGUGUAGCGGUGAAAUGCGUAGAGAUCGGGAGGAAUACCAGUGGCGAAGGCGGCCUUCUGGACUGACACUGACACUGAGGUGCGAAAGCGUGGGUAGCAAACAGGAUUAGAUACCCCAGUAGUC